rnacentral:rRNA from 1 species
GACGAACGCUGUCGGCGUGCUUAACACAUGCAAGUCGAACGAAGUGGCGAACGGGUGAGUAACGCGUAAUCAACCUGCCCUUCAGAGGGGGACAACAGUUGGAAACGACUGCUAAUACCACAUACUGAAGGAGGGGAUUGCGUCUGAGUAGCUAGUUGGCGGUGUAACGGCCCACCAAGUCGAUUAUCAGUAUCCGGUCUGAGAGGAUGAACGGCCACAUUGGUACUUAGACCAGGCCCAGACUCCUAAGGGAGUCAGCAGUUGGUAAUCUUCCGCAAUGGACGAAAGUCGGACGGAGCAACGCCGCGUGAGUGAUGACGGCCUUCGGGUUGUAAAGCUCUGUUAAUCGGGACGCGGUACCGGAAUAGAAAGCCACGGCUAACUACGUGCCAGCAGCCGCGGUAAUAC